UGCCAGCCGCCGCGGUAAUACGGAGGGUGCGAGCGUUAAUCGGAAUCACUGGGCGUAAAGCGUACGUAGGUGGCAAAGUCAGUCAGGCGUGAAAGCCCUGGGCUCAACCUGGGAAUUGCAUUCGAUACUGCAUGGCUAGAGUAUGGUAGAGGGAAGUGGAAUUUCCGGUGUAGCGGUGAAAUGCGUAGAUAUCCGGAGGAACAUCAGUGGCGAAGGCGGCUGCCUGGCUCAAUAUUGACACUGAGGUGCGAAAGCGUGGGGAGCAAACAGGAUUAGAUA
rnacentral:rRNA from 1 species